CGAAGGACGAUGACAGGGACAGUAAAAGAUGUGCAAACCUUCAGCGAAUCGGGAACAGUGGGAGCCCGGUGGAAUCACAGCUUUGAAUAUCACCCUCGAGUUGCAGACUGAACCCCUCUAUUUUGCAGGGCAGUAGGAAUGCCGGAUGCAGCCGUUAACCUGUACUGAAGCGGAUAAGCUGUUCAACAUACAUACCGGCUUAUUUAUCAGGGUGGUACCGCGGGUAAUCCUUCUCGUCCCUUAA
rnacentral:ncRNA from 1 species